rnacentral:rRNA from 1 species
CAGUAGCCGCGGUAAUGCGAAGGGUGCAAGCGUUACUCGGAAUUACUGGGCGUAAAGCGUGCGUAGGUGGUGGUUUAAGUCCGUUGUGAAAGCCCUGGGCUCAACCUGGGAAUUGCAGUGGAUACUGGGUCACUAGAGUGUGGUAGAGGAUAGUGGAAUUUCCGGUGUAGCAGUGAAAUGCGUAGAGAUCGGAAGGAACAUCUGUGGCGAAGGCGACUAUCUGGGCCAACACUGACACUGAGGCACGAAAGCGUGGGGAGCAGACAGGAUUAGAUACCCGCGUAGUCCCUGUCUCUUAUAA